UACGAAGGGGGCUAGCGUUGCUCGGAAUCACUGGGCGUAAAGCGCACGUAGGCGGAUCUUUAAGUCAGGGGUGAAAUCCCAAGGCUCAACCUUGGAACUGCCUUUGAUACUGGGGAUCUCGAGUCCGGAAGAGGUUGGUGGAACUGCGAGUGUAGAGGUGGAAUCGUAGAUAUUAGGAAGAACACCAGUGGCGAAGGCGGCUCACUG
rnacentral:rRNA from 1 species